AGAAAGCGUAAUAGCUCACUGGUCAAGUUCUUCUGCGCCGUAAAUAUAACGGGGCUAAAGUGAGGCACCGAAGCUGGAAAUUCCUAAUUUAUUAGGAGUGGUAGGGGAGCGUUCCAACAACAGUGAAGCAGGCGCGUGAGCAACUGUGGAGUGGUUGGAAGUGAGAAUGUUGGCGUGAGUAGCGAUAAACUGGGUGAAAAACCCAGUCGCCGGAAGCCCAAGGUUUCCUGUCCAAGGAUCAUCCGGGCAGGGUUAGUCGGCCCCUAAGGUGCAGCCGAAAGGCGUAGCCGAUGGGAAUCUGGUUAAUAUUCCAGAACCAACUAUGAGGAGCAGUGGGAUGACGGAGCAGGGUAGGUCAGCCGGUCAUUGGAUUCCGGUCUAAGCGAGUAGGCAGUCUGUGUAGGAAUAAAACGCAUGGAUGACGUCGAGACGUGAUGGUGAAGGCACUUGUGCCGAAAUGAUUGAUCCCAAACUUCCAAGAAAAGUCCCGGGCUGUGUUGAAUCAUAGGUGACCGUACCGCAAACCGACUCAGGUGGGCAGGUGGAGAACACCAAGGCGCUCGAGAGAACCCUGGUUAAGGAACUAGGCAAAUUGACACUGUAACUUCGGGAUAAAGUGUGCCAUUGGUAUGUGAAGCGAUUUACUCGUGGAGCAGAAGAUGGUUGCAACAAAGCGGCGGUAGCGACUGUUUACUAAAAACACAGGACUCUGCGA
rnacentral:rRNA from 1 species